AAAACAUAUAUGAUCACGUUCUAAAGAGCAGUGGUUUGAUUGGAGGCCAGCUUGAUGAAAUUUUGAACAGCACUGCGGCCAUACUUUUGUAUUCACAAGAGUGUGAACCUGACAACAUGGAUGAUGUAAGUCAAGUUAUCAUUGGAUCAAAUGAUUUUGAGGCUGAUUAUGUCUCUCUAGACAGAUGAAUGUUUUACAUUGUUAUAGCUUUUCAUCUGUGAAUAUUUAUUUUAUCUUUUUUUAUCAAACAGCUUGAGGAACUCAUCACUCUUGCUGGCCACAUUUAUGGGAGAGCACUAACUGUUGAUGGUAACAUUGUCAAGGAAAUUCCAACAGGCACCAUUUAUGUCACCAGGCAAGAUUCAAGCACCCUUGGUGGAAAAACUGUUGGCUCAAAGGAUGGAGGAUUUUGCCAACUUCCAACUCUUUCUGCAAUGACAAAUCAACUGCCCACUGGGAAUAUCAAUGUCCAGCUCUUCCAAUUUAUAGAGAAUCCAGUGGAAUUAAAGUCCAACGAAAGCAUCACCGGAACAACUUUCAGCUUAUCUUUGCAGAAUGAAAACUCUUCAAUCAAAUUCAAAAAUCUUGCAGAGAACAUUGAGAUAUAUCUACCUCGACCUGAAGCUUCUGAGCCUGAAGUUGUGGAUAUAGUCUGGAAACCAGGGUUUACUGUCACCUCAUCAUUCAACAUCUCAGACGCAAAUGUGACUGUGGUUGUUACAGCAAUCCCAAAUCAAAAUACAACUCUGAGUUUUACUUUGCACCCACCAGAAGCGGCAAAUACCACCUAUUUGAAUCAAAGCACUAAUAUUACCU